rfam:Brassica oleracea var. oleracea cultivar TO1000 chromosome C2, whole genome shotgun sequence
AAUCCAUGGUGAGGGCAUUCUCUGCGGUAGUCAUUAUAACGCUCCCAUUCGUCGCAAAAAUGCUCUUCAGUGAACUGCCUGAAAGAGGUGAACUUGUUCCUCAAUGC